CCUACGGGAGGCAGCAGUGGGGAAUAUUGCACAAUGGGGGAAACCCUGAUGCAGCGACGCCGCGUGAGUGAAGAAGGAUUUCGGUAUGUAAAGCUCUAUCAGCAGGGAAGAAAAUGACGGUACGUGAUUAAGAAGCCCCGGCUAACUACGUGCCAGCAGCCGCGGGAAUACGUAGGGGGCAAGCGUUAUCCGGAUUUACUGGGUGAAAAGGGAGCGGAGACGGCUGCACAAGUAUGGAGUGAAAUGCCGGGGCUUAACCCCGGAACUGCUUUGGAAACUGUGCAGCUAGAGUGCAGGAGAGGUGAGUGGAAUUCCUUGUGUAGCGGUGAAAUGCGUAGAUAUUAGGAGGCACACCAGUGGCGAAGGCGGCUUACUGGACUGUAACUGACGUUGAGGCUCGAAAGCGUGGGGAGCAAACAGGAUUAGAUACCCGAGUAGUC
rnacentral:rRNA from 1 species